GGACACAGCAGCCCCGACUGCUCAGUUUGUGGCUUCAUCGUCUCAGCCGAGGCCUCCUCUCUGACUCACAUCCUCAGAGGAAGGCUCUCCAAUGCUCCAGUAUAGAAGGACAUAUAUCCCCCCUGCCCACUACCCGUCGGCCAGGACACGGCCCUGCCUGACUCCAGGGGGGAUGAGGUCUGGCGAGAAGGCAUCAUCUUCCCACACAGUGGAAGGAGGUCUGCAGUUCCUGGUCAGGGGCUGGUGAGGUGAAGUGGAUCAGAUCGUCCUCUCCCUCUGAUGCGAAACAUCCCCAGAACCAACCUACGUCCACGCGUGCCCUUCCUCAGCUACAUCACCCACAGCCCUCGUGGGUGCUCCAAAGAGCCUUCUUGGUUUCCCAUCAGGAGCUCCAAUAUCGAGGGUCCUAGUGUCUUUGCUGAGCCAAACUCCCUCUGGGGCAUGUUUCAGGCCCAGUUCCUCUCAAAGGUGAUUCCUAGAAACCUCUACUCUGAAGGCUUCUUUUUCAACCAAGCCUCCAGCACAUCCUCACAACUCCCUAAGAACACUCAGAAGCCACUCCUCUCACAGUCGACAACACCACCAAAGCUCCUGAAUGUGAGGCAGGAGGCUGCAAGGCUAGGUCUUCAUGGUGAAGAGGUUUGA
rnacentral:lncRNA from 1 species